UUCAAAAUCUUCUCUCUACUGACUUCUGAUUUGUCUCUCCAAAAGCUUUAAAACCUACAAUUCUGAUGUAAAAUAAACUCUAGCCUAAAUAUACAUAAAAUACUCUUAAACAUGACUUAUAUCAUGAUCAAAACCCAUUAAAAACGAUGAUAUAUCAACUCACUCAGACUUAGCCUUUUUUUCUCAAGCAAAACAAAGAACGGAACAUUUAAAAGAGCUGUAAAACAUAGGAACUCACAUAUCCUUCAAAGCAUCACUUUCACUACUACUUGUUACAAACCACAUCAAUUGGU
rnacentral:lncRNA from 1 species